rnacentral:rRNA from 1 species
CCUACGGGAGGCAGCAGUGGGGAAUAUUGGACAAUGGGCGAAAGCCUGAUCCAGCAAUGCCGCGUGAGUGAUGAAGGCCUUAGGGUUGUAAAGCUCUUUUACCAGGGAUGAUAAUGACAGUACCUGGAGAAUAAGCUCCGGCUAACUCCGUGCCAGCAGCCGCGGUAAUACGGAGGAAGCUAGCGUUGUUCGGAAUUACUGGGCGUAAAGCGUACGUAGGCGGUUAUUCAAGUCAGAGGUGAAAGCCUGGAGCUCAACUCCAGAACUGCCUUUGAAACUAGGUAGCUAGAAUCACGGAGAGGUUAGUGGAAUUCCGAGUGUAGAGGUGAAAUUCGUAGAUAUUCGGAAGAACACCAGUGGCGAAGGCGACUAACUGGACGUGUAUUGACGCUGAGGUACGAAAGCGUGGGGAGCAAACAGGAUUAGAUACCCUGGUAGUCCACGCCGUAAACGAUGAUAACUAGCUGUUCGGUCUCUACGAGACAGAGUGCGCAGCUACGACAUAAGUUAUCGUCCGUGGGUAGGUACGGUCGCGAGAAUAAACUAACAAAGAAGUAGACGCGNGAGAGNGCGACGACGACGACGAGGAGGUAGG